rnacentral:rRNA from 1 species
AGUGAACGCUGGCGGUAGGCCUAACACAUGCAAGUCGAACGGCAGCACAGUAAGAGCUUGCUCUUACGGGUGGCGAGUGGCGGACGGGUGAGGAAUACAUCGGAAUCUACUUUUUCGUGGGGGAUAACGUAGGGAAACUUACGCUAAUACCGCAUACGACCUACGGGUGAAAGCAGGGGAUCUUCGGACCUUGCGCGAUUGAAUGAGCCGAUGUCGGAUUAGCUAGUUGGCGGGGUAAAGGCCCACCAAGGCGACGAUCCGUAGCUGGUCUGAGAGGAUGAUCAGCCACACUGGAACUGAGACACGGUCCAGACUCCUACGAGAGGCAGCAGUGGGGAAUAUUGGACAAUGGGCGCAAGCCUGAUCCAGCCAUACCGCGUGGGUGAAGAAGGCCUUCGGGUUGUAAAGCCCUUUUGUUGGGUAAGAAAAGCAGCAGGUUAAUACCCCGCUGUUCUGACGGUACCCAAAGAAUAAGCACCGGCUAACUUCGUG